AUUGAACGCUGGCGGCAUGCCUUACACAUGCAAGUCGAACGGUAACAGGUCUUCGGAUGCUGACGAGUGGCGAACGGGUGAGUAAUACAUCGGAACGUGCCCGAUCGUGGGGGAUAACGCAGCGAAAGCUGUGCUAAUACCGCAUACGAUCUACGGAUGAAAGCGGGGGAUCGCAAGACCUCGCGCGGACGGAGCGGCCGAUGGCAGAUUAGGUAGUUGGUGGGAUAAAAGCUUACCAAGCCGACGAUCUGUAGCUGGUCUGAGAGGACGACCAGCCACACUGGGACUGAGACACGGCCCAGACUCCUACGGGAGGCAGCAGUGGGGAAUUUUGGACAAUGGGCGCAAGCCUGAUCCAGCCAUGCCGCGUGCAGGAUGAAGGCCUUCGGGUUGUAAACUGCUUUUGUACGGAACGAAAAAAGCUCUCUCUAAUACAGGGGGUGAAUGACGGUACCGUAAGAAUAAGCACCGGCUAACUACGUG
rnacentral:rRNA from 1 species